rnacentral:misc_RNA from 1 species
CCUCCUUGCUGCUAACAAUGUUGAUGAGGUACUGAUUCAAAUGCUGGCCAAAAAUCUUUGUAGAAAAUGAUUCAGUGACAUGCUGCCGUGCUUCUUCACCCAUUCUCUUAGCCAUCUGGGGAUCCUGAAUGAGUUUAGCCAUUGCCAAAGAGAAAGCUUUAGGAGUAGAAUCACAAAGAAAGCCUGUUACUUCAUCCUUUACUGUUUCCACAGGACCUCCACUGUUGCAUGAAAUGACAGGUUUAUGAGCUGCCAUUGCCUCCAA